CCGGCACGGGUGAGUAACGCGUAUGCAACUUGCCUAUCAGGAGGGGAUAACCCGGCGAAAGUCGGACUAAUACCGCAUGAAGCAGGGGCCCCGCAUGGGGAUAUUUGCUAAAGAUUCAUCGCUGAUAGAUAGGCAUGCGUUCCAUUAGGCAGUUGGCGGGGUAACGGCCCACCAAACCGACGAUGGAUAGGGGUUCUGAGAGGAAGGUCCCCCACAUUGGUACCGAGACACGGACCAA
rnacentral:rRNA from 1 species